CCUAGGGGGGGCUGCAGUGGGGAAUAUUGGACAAUGGGCGAAAGCCUGAUCCAGCCAUGCCGCGUGUGUGAAGAAGGCCUUCGGGUUGUAAAGCACUUUCAGUGGGGAAGAAAGCCUUGGGGCUAAUACCCUCGAGGAAGGACAUCACCCACAGAAGAAGCACCGGCUAACUCCGUGCCAGCAGCCGCGGUAAUACGGAGGGUGCGAGCGUUAAUCGGAAUUACUGGGCGUAAAGCGCGCGUAGGCGGUCUGAUAAGCCGGUUGUGAAAGCCCCGGGCUCAACCUGGGAACGGCAUCCGGAACUGUCAGGCUAGAGUGCAGGAGAGGAAGGUAGAAUUCCCGGUGUAGCGGUGAAAUGCGUAGAGAUCGGGAGGAAUACCAGUGGCGAAGGCGGCCUUCUGGACUGACACUGACGCUGAGGUGCGAAAGCGUGGGUAGCAAACAGGAUUAGAUACCCCGGUAGUC
rnacentral:rRNA from 1 species